UCCAGAACAUUCUAGAAAAAUUGGGAAAAGUCUGGAAUGUUCCAAAACUUUCUAGAAAAAUUGGGAAAAUUCUGAAAUGUUCCAGAACUUUCUAGAAAAAUUGGGAAGAGUCUGGAAUGUUCCAGAACUUUCUAGAAA
ensembl:ncRNA Y97E10B.12 ncRNA